UCAGACGGCCGGGCGGUCGCGGUCCUCGCAAGAGGGUCGAGGAAAGUCCGGGCUCCACGACGACAUGGCGGUGGGUAACGCCCACCGGGGGUGACCCUAGGGAUAGCGCCACAGAGAGCAGACCGCCGGCGUUUCGGCGCCGGUAAGGGUGAAAGGGUGCGGUAAGAGCGCACCGCGGACCCAGCAAUGGGGACGGCAUGGCAAGCCCCGCCAGGAGCAAGACCGAAUAGGGGUGUCGCGCCGGUUCGCCGGUAGGGCUGUCGUAGGCCCGAGACACCCGGGUAGGUCGCGAGAACCGUCCAGCGAUGGGCGGUCCAGAGGAAUGAUCGCCAAUGCCCGUUCGCGGGCGGCACAGAACCCGGCUUACAGGCCGUCUGGUCCA
rnacentral:RNase_P_RNA from 1 species